rnacentral:rRNA from 1 species
UGCCAGCCGCCGCGGUAAUACGGAGGGUCCAAGCGUUAAUCGGAAUUACUGGGCGUAAAGCGCGCGUAGGCGGUUUGUCAAGUUGGAUGUGAAAUCCCUGGGCUCAACCUAGGAACUGCAUUCAAAACUUAUAGACUAGAGUACGAUAGAGGAGAGUAGAAUUCCUGGUGUAGCGGUGAAAUGCGUAGAUAUCAGGAGGAAUACCAAUGGCGAAGGCAACUCUCUGGAUCGACACUGACGCUGAGGUGCGAAAGCGUGGGUAGCAAACAGGAUUAGAUA